rfam:Oryza rufipogon genomic scaffold, chr01
AAAAAGGUAAACUAUGGGUUCCUGUGUCAUCGUUUGACUGUCCAUCUUAUAUGAAUUUUUUUUAUAAUUAGUAUUUUCAUUGUUGAUAGAUGAUAAAACAUGAUUAAUACUUUAUGUGUGACUUGUCUUUUUAAUUUUUUUUAUAAUUUUUUCAAAUAAGACGGACGGUCAAACGUUAGACAGGGAAACCAGGGUUUGUCUUUUC